rnacentral:tRNA from 3 species
GCGGAAGUAGCUCAUUUGGUAGAGCAUCAGCCUUCCAAGCUGAGGGUGGCCGGUUCGAGCCCGGUCUUCCGCUCCA